rnacentral:rRNA from 1 species
AUUGAACGCUGGCGGCAGGCCUAACACAUGCAAGUCGAGCGAGCGGCGGACGGGUGAGUAAUGUCUGUGAAACUGCCUGAUGGAGGGGGAUAACUAAUGGAAACGGUAGCUCAUACCGCAUACCAUCAGAUGUGCCCAGAUGGGAUUAGCUAGUGGGGGGGGUAACGGCCUACCUAGGCGACGAUCCCUAGCUGGUCUGAGAGGAUGACCAGCCACACUGGAACUGAGACACGGUCCAGACUCCUACGGGAGGCAGCAGUGGGGAAUAUUGCACAAUGGGCGCAAGCCUGAUGCAGCCAUGCCGCGUGUGUGAAGAAGGCCUUCGGGUUGUAAAGCACUUUCAGCGGGGAGGCGUUACCCGCAGAAGAAGCACCGGCUAACUCCGUGCCAGCCGCCGCGGUAAUAC